rnacentral:rRNA from 1 species
CCUACGGGGGGCAGCAGUGGGGAAUAUUGCGCAAUGGGCGAAAGCCUGACGCAGCGACGCCGCGUGAGGGAUGAAGGCCUUCGGGUCGUAAACCUCUUUCAGCAGGGAAGAAGCGAAAGUGACGGUACCUGCAGAAGAAGCACCGGCUAACUACGUGCCAGCAGCCGCGGUAAUACGUAGGGUGCAAGCGUUGUCCGGAAUUAUUGGGCGUAAAGAGCUCGUAGGCGGUCUGUCGCGUCUGCUGUGAAAACCUAGGGCUUAACUCUGGGCGUGCAGUGGGUACGGGCAGGCUAGAGUGCGGUAGGGGAGACUGGAAUUCCUGGUGUAGCGGUGAAAUGCGCAGAUAUCAGGAGGAACACCGGUGGCGAAGGCGGGUCUCUGGGCCGUAACUGACGCUGAGGAGCGAAAGCAUGGGGAGCGAACAGGAUUAG